rnacentral:rRNA from 1 species
GGAUUCCUUAAGUAAUUGCGAAUGAACAAGGAAAUGCUCAGCUUGAAAAAUGGGGCCUUUGGCUUUGAAUUGUAAUUUUGAAAUGUAUUGCCAAUGGAGGCGCAGGUGCAAGCCUAUUGAAAGAAAGCGUCAAUGAGGGUGAGAUUCCUUUUUGUCAUUUGCAGUCCUCCGUGCACGGUAUAUAUUUGACGAGUCACACUCCUCGGCAUUGGAAUGCAAAGUGGGUGGUAAAUUCCAUGUAAAGGUAAAUAUAUUAUUGAGACUGAUAGCAAACAAGUACCAUGAGGGAAAUAUGAAAAGGACUUUGAAAAGAGAAUUAAAAGAGUCUGCAUUUGCUGAACAGAAAGCAAACAGAAUUGAUUUUACUUGGUGAGAUUGUUGUGCUUACUCUAUCAUUUAUAUGGUUGAUGUGGGUGCGAUGGUUCUUACCUUGAAUGUCAGCUUCUAUUUCUGCAAAUCAUUACCCUUGCACAUGAAUGGUAACUUGCCUGCGGGUAUUGGAAUGCAUGUGUUUGCAAUGAUUUGUGAUUUGACGCAUGUGUUUGGUGAAAUUUGUAUAUGCUCUUUUGUCGAAGGGGAAAGCUUACUUUUUUGAGCAUUGCAAGCCCUUACACAUCAGUGCUGGCAAAAUGUUUCUGCUUGACCCGUCUUGAAACACGGACCAAGGAGUCUAACAGAUGUGCAAGUUCGUGGGUGGCAAACCUUUUUGCGCAAUGAAAGUAUUGGCUGGGAUACUUGCACCAGCAGCCGACCAAUUAGCAGACAGAGGUUUGAGUUUGAGCAUAUCUAUUAGGACCCGAAAGAUGGUGAACUAUGCCUGAACAGAAUGAAUUCAGAGGAAACUCUGAUGGAGGUUCGUAUCGAUACUGACGUGCAAAUCGUUCGUCAUACUUGGGUAUAGGGGCGAAAGACUAAUCGAACCAUCUAGUAGCUGGUUCCCUCCGAAGUUUCCCUCAGGAUAGCUGGAGUUGCACAGUUUUAUCAGGUAAAGCGAAUGAUUAGAGGAAUUGGGGACACGCUGUCCUUGACCUAUUCUCAAACUUUAAAUGGGUAAGAUGCAAUGGUUGCUUUAUUGAACUUUUGGAAUAAAUGGCAAUAUCAGGUGGGCCAUUUUUGGUAAGCAGAACUGGCGAUGAGGGAUGAACCUAACGUUGGGUUAAGGUGCUUAAUUGCUUGCUCAUUAGAUACCAGAAAGGGUGUUGGUUCAUUUUAACAGCAGGACGGUGGUCAUGGAAGUCGAAAUCCGCUAAGGAGUGUGUAACAACUCACCUGCCGAAUGGACUAGCCCCGAAAAUGGAUGGCGCUCAAGCGGGUGACCGAUACCCAACCACUGUUGCAAAUAGUGUCAGUGUGUAGGAGGGCAUGGCGGUUUGUGAUGCAGCCUUUG